rnacentral:rRNA from 1 species
GAUGAACGCUGGCGGCGUGCCUAAUACAUGCAAGUCGAGCGAACAGAUGAGGAGCUUGCUCCUCUGACGUUAGCGGCGGACGGGUGAGUAACACGUGGAUAACCUACCUAUAAGACUGGGAUAACUUCGGGAAACCUGAGCUAAUACCGGAUAAUAUAUUGAACCGCAUGGUUCAAUAGUGAAAGACGGUUUUGCUUUCACUUAUAGAUGGAUCCGCGCCGCAUUAGCUAGUUGGUAAGGUAACGGCUUACCAAGGCAACGAUGCGUAGCCGACCUGAGAGGGUGGUCGCACAGACUGGAAGUGAGACACGGCCCAGACUCCUACGGGAGGACGCAGUAGGGAAUCUUCCGCGAUGGGGGAAAGCCUGACGGAGCAACGCGGGGUGAGUGAUGAAGGUCUUCGGACCGUAAAACUCUGUUAUUAGGGAAGAACAAAUGUGUAAGUAACUAUGCACGUCUUGACGGUACCUGAUCAGAAAGCCACGGCUAACUACGUG